rnacentral:lncRNA from 7 species
UUUUUUUUUCUAUUACGUGUUUUCAAAUGCAGAGUCAAACCGGGUUUUGAAUUUUACAUACACACGCAAACCUCCAGCAUGAAUGUAAGCUAUAUAUUUGUUUAUAUAUUAUUAAAUAUUUUAUUCACAAAUAAUAUUUAUAAAAGGAAUAAGUCAUUAUUUAUAAUAUCCCUUUAGGCUAAUGUUUUUAGAUAUAUAAUUCC